CAGUAGGGAUCUUCCGCAAUGGACGAAAGUCUGACGGAGCAACGCCGCGUGAGUGAUGAAGGCUUUCGGGUCGUAAAACUCUGUUGUUAGGGAAGAACAAGUGCUAGUUGAAUAAGCUGGCACCUUGACGGUACCUAACCAGAAAGCCACGGCUAACUACGUGCCAGCAGCCGCGGUAAUACGUAGGUGGCAAGCGUUAUCCGGAAUUAUUGGGCGUAAAGCGCGCGCAGGUGGUUUCUUAAGUCUGAUGUGAAAGCCCACGGCUCAACCGUGGAGGGUCAUUGGAAACUGGGAGACUUGAGUGCAGAAGAGGAAAGUGGAAUUCCAUGUGUAGCGGUGAAAUGCGUAGAGAUAUGGAGGAACACCAGUGGCGAAGGCGACUUUCUGGUCUGUAACUGACACUGAGGCGCGAAAGCGUGGGGAGCAAACAGGAUUAGAUACCCUGGUAGUCCACGCCGUAAACGAUGAGUGCUAAGUGUUAGAGGGUUUCCGCCCUUUAGUGCUGAAGUUAACGCAUUAAGCACUCCGCCUGGGGAGUACGGCCGCAAGGCUGAAACUCAAAGGAAUUGACGGGGCCCC
rnacentral:rRNA from 2 species